UGCUUUGGCUUUUGCGGUGGUUCUUUUAGGCUCAUUUUCUGGAAGUCUUGCAUCCAUCCAAAUUCUUUGAGUCCCCGGAAGUCAGUGUCUGAAGCUAGCAACUUGCUGCCUGAUCUUGGAAGUGGCUCCAAGGUCUGAUUGUUUAUGUGAAGGGGAGCGAAACAGAAACAAAAUUGGUUGAGUUUCAGAGAUUUCUGCCCUGCUUUGGACGGGGGGGCUGCCUGUCACAGUGAGUAGAGCCUGGUGUGGGAUUGUCAAAACACAGGCUUUGCUUUAACACCAGCCUGGAAACAACUGGAAGUGACCUGCUAUACUUAGGUUCCCCCAUCGAUACAACAGACAUGGGGAAGGUUGCUUAGUUUUAUUGUGAAUUGCUGUGACCUCUGUUGUUGAAAAGUGCUUAUAUGAAGUGUCCUGUUAUUAUGUUACUCACAUUUUGUUACUGUUACCAUCUGUACUCCAGAAUAUUGGCUCUGAAGGAUUAUCCUAGAGUGUAAAUCUAAAUCUGUGACCGCAAUAAACCAUAAUCUCUGUUUGCUGAUGACAGUUGCAUUGACAGAAGUAACCUUGGUGCCUUCAGUACAUCUUGUAAAUUGGGAAUUGGAACACAGCUCUCCACUGAGCUUUUUAUG
rnacentral:lncRNA from 1 species